rnacentral:lncRNA from 1 species
AUGCGGUCCCCGAACGGAGCUCAAAUCAAGACCCAAGGGAGGCCCAUGAGGCCUUCACAAAGAAAGAUAAGAAGAACAGAGGGCGCUGAGUGCUUGGCACCCGCCAGGUGCUCCCGGAGGCCUUUACCUCACCAGGUGCUCCCCGAGGCCUUACCUUGCCAGGUGCUCCCGAGGCCUUUACCUCACCAGGUGCUCCCCGAGGCCUUACCUUGCCAGGUGCUCCCCGAGGCCUUUACCUCACCAGGUGCUCCCCAAGGCCUUUACCUCGCUAGGUGCUCCCCGGAGGCCUUCAUCUCACCAGGUGCUCCCCCGAGGCCUUCACCUCACCAGGUGCUCCCCAAGGCCUUUACCUCGCUAGGUGCUCCCCGGAGGCCUUCAUCUCACCAGGUGCUCCCCCGAGGCCUUCACCUCCCCAGGUGCUCCCCGAGGCCUUCACCUCCCCAGGUGCUCCCUGAGGCCUUCACCUCCCCAGGUGCUCACCCCAAGGCCUUUACCUCACCAGGUGCUCCCCAAGGCCUUACCUCGCCAGGUGCUCCCCGAGGCCUUCACCUCCCCAGGUGCUCCCCUCAAGGCCUUCACCUCCCCAGAUGCUCCCCGAGGCCUUUACCUCCCCAGGUGCUCCCCGGAGGCCUUCACCUCGCCAGGUGCUCCCCCCAAGGCCUUUACCUCACCAGGUGCUCCCCCGAGGCCUUCACCUCGCCUGGUGCUCCCCGAGGCCUUCACCUUCCCAGGUGCUCCCCCCAAGGCCUUUACCUCACCAGGUGCUCCCCGGGGCCUUACCUUGCCAGGUGCUCCCCUCCCCAGGCCUUCACCUCCCCAGGUGCUCCCCGAGGCCUUUACCUGGGAGGGCAGCUGGUCGCACAGGAGCCCCGGCAGGUGGGCGCCCCCAAGGCCGGGUGCGUUUUGCAGCGGAGGGGGCCGAGGCCCGGCGUCCCCAGCUCGCCCCAGGGCGCCCAGCGCUCGCGAGGGCCCGAAGGGGGCCCCAGGCCCAGGCGCCUUCACCGCGGGGCCAGCAGUCGGGCCUUCGCGAAGCUGCAGCUCCGGGGCUGGGCGGGUGGCGCGAGGGAGCUGGUGCGGCCCGGGGGUGAGCAAGGGGCGCAGGCCUUCCUCGGCGGGGCCUGCCUUAGUCUGGGCCACAGGACAGAGCGCCCCGAGACCCCGGGUCAUCCCUCUCCCCAGCGGCUCCUCCGCCACUUCUGGCAGAUCGCGCCGUGCUCUGCGCCUCCACCUUCUCGUCUGUGA